AGCAUUUCAAGGGAUGGUCAAGAUUCUCUUGCAGCCUCUGGAUUCAGGAAGCUGGAAAGUUCAGAAAACAGAAUUGGAGCUGGCAGUAGUCAUGAGUGUCUUAGCCUCAUUUUUGCUCUCUGAACGCCUGCCCUCGCCAGCGUGCCGUAGCACCCCGGCUUCUUGCG